rnacentral:lncRNA from 1 species
GACCCAGUUCACCUGAGCCGGGCAAGGGACAUGGUGACCCCGGCGUGGGGUGCGACCCGGCAAGACCAAGAACUUCAAGCGAAACGCAAGGCAGGUCCGGCCCAGCGCUCGGAGGCUUUUGCGGUCAGAAACAAGGCGGAGGUGCUGUCACAUUAGUUUCAGGCCAGUGAAAAACUGCUGAGGCUAGACCGUCAUGGGCGAGGCCAGCAGAGAUGAGUAUAAAAUCCAGUCUUUCGAUGCAGAGACUCAGCAGCUGCUGAAGACUGCACUCAAAGAUCCAGGUGCUGUGGACCUGGAGAGAGUAGCCAACGUGAUUGUGGACCAUUCUCUGCAGGACUGCGUAUUCAGCAAGGAAGCAGGACGGAUGUGCUACGCCAUUAUUCAGGCAGAGAGUAAGC